UACGGGGGGUGCAAGCGUUGUUCGGAAUUACUGGGCGUAAAGGGCGCGUAGGUGGCUUUCUUAGUCAGACGUGAAAUCCCCGGGCUUAACUCGGGAACUGCGUCUGAUACUGGAAGGCUGGAGUUCGGGAGAGGAAUGUGGAAUUCCAGGUGUAGCGGUGAAAUGCGUAGAUAUCUGGAGGAACACCGGUGGCGAAGGCGGCAUUCUGGACCGAAACUGACGCUGAGGCGCGAAAGCCAGGGGAGCAAACGGG
rnacentral:rRNA from 1 species